CCUACGGGCGGCAGCAGUAGGGAAUUUUCGGCAAUGGGGGGAACCCUGACCGAGCAACGCCGCGUGAACGAAGAAGUUAUUCGUAAUGUAAAGUUCUAUUAACAGGGAAGAAAGAGAAAGUUGCCGGUACCUGAAGAAUAAGCUCAGGCUAACUAAGGACCAGCAGCCGCGGUAAUACGUAGGGAGCGAGCGUUAUCCGGAUUUAGUGGGUUUAAAGGGUGCGUAGGCGGACUGUUAAGUCAGCGGUAAAAGCCCGGGGCUCAACCCCGGCGAGCCGUUGAAACUGGCGGUCUUGAGAUGUCGAGAGGUAUGCGGAAUGCGCAGUGUAGCGGUGAAAUGCUUAGAUAUUGCGCAGAACUCCGAUUGCGAAGGCAGCAUACCGGCGGCUAUCUGACGCUGAGGCACGAAAGCGUGGGUAUCGAACAGGAUUAGAUACCCGAGUAGUC
rnacentral:rRNA from 1 species